AUACAGCUCGAGCGAAGCAGGGCUCGGACCUCUCAUGAGGGAUGUGAAAAACAAAAUAUGUCAAGUUACUUGUGAACAAGAAGAUCAUAAGCCUUGAUUUACCUGUGAAAGAUGUUUACAGGAAAGUAUGGACACUGGAACAUGGAGAGGGAGAGCCAAUGCAGAUUAUCUACUGUAUGAGAGGACUGUUGGGGGAUGCUACAGAGGACAUAGUUAACUCCCUUGAUACAAACACACUGGAAGAUAGAGACAAAGAGGAAGUGUACAGAAUGGCCAAUGUGCUCGCUACAUGUGGUGGUCUUAAGGUGGUGCUGGACAGAUAGCCAAACAUUCCCCAGGAUUCAAACCAACAACCUUCAGAUAGAAAGAUUUACCUGUUGUGUAAACAGGAUGAGCUGGCUUGGUGAAAGGAAAAGAAAAGGAAAAUGAGCUCAGGAAAGACAAGAUACAGCAGGUACAAGUUCUUAAGGCAUUCAUGGAAACAGAGUUCAGCAGCUUCUUGAAACAGCGUACCUUAUUUCUGCGAUGUCUUCCUUCUGAUGUUGAUGGGAUUUAUUUCUUCAGUUCUGUAUUCGCUGGUUGUUCAUUAAUUUCAAAUAGACAGCCUAGACACUGGCACAAAUGGACAGACUGGAAGUUCUUGUGUACUACCCACUCAUGAGGAGUGUAUAUUUUGUCAAACAAAGAAGAUAAGGAACCAUUGAAGAACCAGGGAUCACCACUGCUGCAAUGGGAAACACUUGUUACGGAUCAUAAAAUGACACCUCUUGAGAUGCAGAUGCCCAGAGAUUUGUAUGACCAUAACUGGAGUGCACAGUCAGACAAAAUAGCACCAGUUGCUGAGGUCCAAGUUUCCCAAAAGCAGAUAAUUCUAAGGCCCAUUGAAACCAGAGAUUACAUCUAUUAAUUUGACAAAGCCAGUUGUUGAGUUUUUACAUGAGACAGUUGGGGAGAAUGAGUUUACAUUUUGCUGGAACCUUGUUACAGGUGUUUCUCCAUUACAGACGGAACUGUAGGCCUGGAAGAUUUUUUUAUACCUAAAUAUAAUCACAGUGCCCACUUAGCUCAGUAGGUAGAGCGUUGGUCUACAGAUCGCGGGUCGAUUAUUUGGAAGUGAUCAGUGCUUUAUCAGAGUUUGACAAGCCGUCGUAUUUUGGUUUGCCAGAGAAUAUAGAGCAUUCAGCGUUCGUGACUUUUUGAUAAACGACAUUGUGUCUGAAAUCAGUGGCAGUUACUUGCUGAGAACAGGUACAUGUAUAUACUCUGGUAACAGAUUUACAGUAUCAGACAGUAUCCUAAGAACCCACAGACAUUCUAGAUAUAGAACCAACACACUCGGACAAGCUGGCAAGAUUUUACAUUCAAGAGUGGUGACAUUCUGCCCAAGAUUAGAGUCUGGAGAUACAUUGGCCAAUCUUAGAAUCUUAGAAUCUUUUUUUAGAUUUAAGUUUAAAAAUGACAGACUUAAGACUACAUGUAUAUUGUUUUCAUUCAAAGGCUUUUCUCUGCUUUUGUUUUUUAUCAACAUAUUAAGAUCUGGAAAAAAGUCAAUAUUACAAAAUAAAAGAAAGAAAAAGAUUUUUUUUAAAAUAAAUACUUAUGGAGUGACUUUAUCAUGUCUUUAAGAUAUGCAAGAUUACAGUGAUUUAUUGGACAAGAAACAACUUUUUCAACCUUAACAUCUGUUUCCACAAAUUGAAUGAACUUUUACAAAUAAAAUAGUAAAUUAUG